UCGAGGAUCUUCCGCAAUGCGCGCAAGCGUGACGGAGCGACGCCGCGUGGGUGAUGAAGGCCUUCGGGUCGUAAAACCCUGUUAGCUACAGUGAAUUGCGGGUGGUGAAUAGCCAUCCCGCUUGACGUAAGUAGCAAAGAAAGCACCGGCUAACUACGUGCCAGCAGCCGCGGUAAUACGUAGGGUGCAAACGUUGUUCGGAAUCACUGGGCAUAAAGAGCGCGUAGGCGGUCUGAUAAGCCUUGUGUGAAAGCCCCCGGCUCAACCGGGGAAUUGCACUGGAUACUGUCGGGCUAGAGUACAGGAGGGGAGAGUGGAAUUCCUGGUGGAGCGGUGAAAUGCGUAGAUAUCAGGAGGAACGCCAGUGGCGAAAGCGACUCUCUGGUCUGUUACUGACGCUGAGGUGCGAAAGCUAGGGGAGCAAACGGGAUUAGAUACCCUUGUAGUCCCUGAGCGGGC
rnacentral:rRNA from 1 species